rnacentral:ncRNA from 1 species
CAACCUCAACUCAUAUGGGACUACCCCCUGAAUUUAAGCAUAUUAAUUAGGGGAGGAAAAGAAACUAACAAGGAUUUUCUUAGUAGCGGCGAGCGAAAAGAAAUCAGUUCAGCACUAAGUCACUUUGUCUAUAUGGCAAAUGUGAGAUGCAGUGUACGGA